CUAGUAACGGCCGCCAGUGUGCUGGAAUUCGCCCUUCAGGCCUAACACAUGCAAGUCGAGGGGCAGCAUUUUAGUUUGCUUGCAAACUGAAGAUGGCGACCGGCGCACGGGUGAGUAACACGUAUCCAACCUGCCGAUAACUCCGGAAUAGCCUUUCGAAAGAAAGAUUAAUACCGGAUGGCAUACGAAUAUCGCAUGAUAUUUUUAUUAAAGAAUUUCGGUUAUCGAUGGGGAUGCGUUCCAUUAGUUUGUUGGCGGGGUAACGGCCCACCAAGACUACGAUGGAUAGGGGUUCUGAGAGGAAGGUCCCCCACAUUGGAACUGAGACACGGUCCAAACUCCUACGGGAGGCAGCAGUGAGGAAUAUUGGUCAAUGGGCGCGAGCCUGAACCAGCCAAGUAGCGUGAAGGAUGAAGGCUCUAUGGGUCGUAAACUUCUUUUAUUUGGGAAUAAAGUUUUCCACGUGUGGAAUUUUGUAUGUACCAUAUGAAUAAGGAUCGGCUAACUCCGUGCCAGCAGCCGCGGUAAUACGGAGGAUCCGAGCGUUAUCCGGAUUUAUUGGGUUUAAAGGGAGCGUAGGUGGAUUGUUAAGUCAGUUGUGAAAGUUUGCGGCUCAACCGUAAAAUUGCAGUUGAAACUGGCAGUCUUGAGUACAGUAGAGGUGGGCGGAAUUCGUGGUGUAGCGGUGAAAUGCUUAGAUAUCACGAAGAACUCCGAUUGCGAAGGCAGCUCACUAGACUGUUACUGACACUGAUGCUCGAAAGUGUGGGUAUCAAACAGGAUUAGAUACCCUGGUAGUCCACACAGUAAACGAUGAAUACUCGCUGUUUGCGAUAUACAGUAAGCGGCCAAGCGAAAGCAUUAAGUAUUCCACCUGGGGAGUACGCCGGCAACGGUGAAACUCAAAGGAAUUGACGGGGGCCCGCACAAGCGGAGGAACAUGUGGUUUAAUUCGAUGAUACGCGAGGAACCUUACCCGGGCUUAAAUUGCAACAGAAUAUAUUGGAAACAGUAUAGCCG
rnacentral:rRNA from 1 species